rnacentral:lncRNA from 1 species
GAAAAAUAUGUAUGAUUUUGUGCUGAUUUAGCCUGGCAUUGAUAGCUAAUUGCAGUGCCUUUUUAUCAUAAUUUUGUGCUGAUUUUCUUCUGGUUGCUCCUAAUCUUCUUCUUGAUGGUCUGCCCUUCUCUCUGUAAUAUAUAUAUAUAUAUAUGUAUAUAUAUAUAUAUAUAUAUAAUCAUCUUCUAAUAUCCACUUUAAAUGCCAGCUUGAAUACAGAGAAAGCCUUUAAUGCACGAAAGUUGAUCAAAUGAUGCCCUAGCUAAUAAAGCUACUGCAUUUAGGCACCGUGAUAUUGCCACCAAAUUAGGGCAAGCUAUUAGGUUUUCCAUGAUCCAUAUGAAUAUCGAGGUAAACAGCAAGAAGAAAGAAAAAUUGGAAAAAAGAAUUAUUUAUAUAAAUAAUAAAAUCCUUUUUAUCCUAAUCUCUCAGAAAUAAUAACAUCUUUUUUUUUAUCCAAAUAUCACAGAAAUAAUAGUUUACAAGCAUGCACUGCAUGUAGAAUAAAAAAACAUUGAUUGUAAUAAAAAAAUAUUUAAAUUUUAGAAAACUAUUUGGUAUUGUUAUUAAACUUAACUUAGCGGCUCAAUCUUAAAACCUCACCAUCUAACUCAUUACCUAGCCCGGGUUUAAGUUUAAACCAUGUGGAAGUUGGCUCGGAUUAAAAAAAAAAGAGCUCGAUCGUGUGGGCCUACCCUGGCAGACCCACGCAUGGGCCCUGGUUAAAUGGGUAAGGCUGACUGGCCUGACUUCUUAAGCCCAAUAAUGUCUGAUCUUUUUUUUCCCUAAUUUUUUUAUGUUUUAAAAAAAAACUUAAUUAUAUUUACAUUAAUACCCCUUUUAUCUUUUAUUUUGUUUAGAAGACCUCUUUUAAAUAAUAUUGAUUUUUUGGUUAUGCAUUUAAUUUUCAAAGAGGUUUUUAUAAUUCAUCUAUGGUUUUGUUUUUAUCUUUUGUAUAGAAUAAAAAGGUUUUUGAAAAUAAAAAAUAUUUAUUUUUAGAUUAUAUUUUUAACAUGUGUAGUCUUACAUGUUAUUCUUUUUUAUUAUUAUUUUAUUCAAUCAAUUUAAUGUUCUAUUUUUCGAGAUUAAAUAUCUUGAUUUACAUCUAUUUUUUGAUUUUUUAAGUUGUGCUUUUAGAUAUUAUUAAUGAUUAUUUAUUUAUUUAUUAGCGCAUAUAAUUUUUAAUUUAUUUGAUUAUAUAUGUGUGUAAACUUUUUGAUUUGUUAUAUUUUUUGAACUAUAAAAAUACAUUUAAAAAACCUACAUAUAUAUUUUUUUAUAAAAAUAAAAAUAUUUAACUCACCAUGAAUCACGGAUUGCGUAACUAGUUGAUUUACUAGAGUGUGUGAUUUUUAUUUAUCAUGUAGGAAGUCUUCAUAAUUUUUCCAUGUAAUUCAAUGUGACAGUUUGAUCGCUAAUUCUCUUGUCAUGACAGAAUUACGUGUUGCUGGUAAGUUUUAUCAAUAAUAGAAAGGGCUUCCGGCAGGGCGGAGCAAGAAAAAAAAAUUCAAAAGAGUUAAAUUAAAAAAAUUAUUUUUAAAAAAUUAAAAUUUUAGUUAUUUUAUAAAAAGAAAGGCUGGGAAAAAUUUCCUUACAGGGCCGGAGUCUCCACCCAGCCCCCCUGCCUCCGUCACUAGCUCCCGGUAGUUCUUUUUUAUACCAAAUUUAUUUGAAGUUAUUAAACCCGACUCGACUCGUAAUAUUGCCAUAAAUUACAGCAGAUUAGCUCGAACCAAUUUAGAAAGAUGUUUGAGUUUCGUGUGAUAAUUCUGAUCAAGUUUACAGCAGAGAGACUUGUAUAUUUUUCAUGGUGUGUUCAUCCAUUUGAGGGUGUCUGGGUCAGUUUAUGUGUACCUCGACUAAUCUCACAACACAACAAAAUUCAACAAUAUUUAUCAAACGUAAAUUUUUGGUGUCUCAUGGCCAGUUAACCUCCAAUGAAUCCCCAACGAAAAACACAAAUUUUGUAAUUUUUUUAAUUAACGUGGGUGUCUGGGUCAGCUUGCGUGUACCUCGACUAAUUUCACGGGCCCUGAAGUUAACGACCAUAUAAACCUCUAGUGACCCUGAAGUUUGUGAGACUCGAACCAAUAUUUUUAUUAAAAUAUUAGAUUAUUAGAUUAUUGAAUCAAUUUAUAGAUUAUUGGAUCAAUUCUAAGCAAUUAUUUUUAUUAAAAUGAUAUUGUUUUUCUUAAAAAAAAUUCUUGGAGUUGAUCUAACUGGGGUUUGGACCGAAUUUGGUUAGGUCAACUAAAUCACUAAGAACUUGGCUAGAUUAAUCAGGUUUCACCGGGUUAACGUUUUUUUCUAUUCAAUUUGAAACUCAAUCCAAAUCAGACUUUAGAGCUGGGUUUAACAACUAUUAUAUAUCAUUUUCCUAUCUUUAUUUUCAUAAAAUCAAAAAAUAAAAAAUAAAAUAGGCAUCUUCAUGGAUAAUAUUGAUUUCCUGUUCCUUGCUAAAUACAGAAGCGAACAAGAUUGAACCCGUGUUACGCCGCGAGCCUAUUCAAUUUUUUUAACAUAAAAAAGGAUGCUCAAGCGACAAUUGUGUUUUUAAAGAAGUAAGAAAAACCUUAUACUCAGGUUAUUAACUUAACUGUAUCAAAAUACGAUCAGUUAAUUUAAUAAUCUGAUUUAAACUGAAGGCGAUGAUAGACAACGAAUCAUAAAAAAACAUAUAGCAAUAAUUAACUAAAAAAAUAACCCAUCGAUAUUAUAUUUGUAAGGAGAGGAAGAAAAAAGAUCGUUGGAAACCCAUCGUCACUUCACCGUGAACAUCUCUUACAAUCAAAAGAGUUUGUUGAGACGGUUCAAAUCUCACUAUAAAAAUAUGCACGACGACAUCGAAAGAAGUCACAUGAGUCACUAGAACAACGCCCUAGGAAAGCAAACCGAACAAAACACAAUGAAGUAAAUAUCCAUCUAGCAUCUAUAUUCAAUCAAUCAAUUUCAUUUAAUUCGGAAAUAAAGUUUAUUUUGAACAAAUAAAUUUAACAAAGAACAACAAAUAAAAAGACCUGAGAUAAACCAAUCAAAUAAAAAAACAAAGGGCGUAGAAAGCAAAUAAAAAGACCUGAGAUAAACCAACCAAAUAAAAAAACAAAGGGCGUAGAAAGCAUAUAUAUAUAUAUAUAUAGACACACACACACACAAAACAAAUCCCACUCUCCAAUGGAAAAAAUAUCGAGAGCUAAAAUUGAAAAAAAUAUUAGCUUAAGAGAAUGAUAUAAAAAAAAAAAACAAUGCAACCCCUGACAAACCUCUUUAAACUGAGUUAAUUUCUCAAACUACAACUCGUGAAAAUCAAAAUAUAGACUUAACUAAGAAGUUUAAAUUCAAACCAACUCACUAUUGGAAUAUGAAAUUGAAUAAAAAAAAUAUAAACCUGAAAAGUUUGGCAAAGAAAGAAAAACAACAAUAAAAAAAUGAUGAUAAAAUCUGAUGGAAAAAAAUAACAAUGGAGGGUGACAUCACAAAAAUAUAAAAAUUAUCUCAAAUGAAAUAAAUAUAAAUUAAAAGAAUAGGGAUCAAAUCUAAAAAUAAAAAAUCAAAUGAGAAUGAAACUGAAACAAAUUUUUAUUUGCAUAAAUUAUUGCAAAUAAAACAAAUAUUAACAAAAAAAAAUCAAGGAUUAAAUUGAAAAUAAAGAGAAAUUGAGGGUUUGAUUUGGGAAAUUCUAGAGUAUGGCACAAAAAUCAAGAGAGAGAGAGAAAAAAGGUUAUUGGAGUCAAACUGAAGGUCUAUUACAUACACGUGCCACCAUUACAUGAUAGAGAUACCGAGAUGAAUAUAAAGACAUCAAAAAACGAUGUUUUUGGUUACUGAAAUCAGUUACAUGUGCUGUUUAAAGAUGAUAGAGCAGAUGUCGCGUGCCCAGCACGAGAGAGAGAGUAUUUUUUUUUCAAAUACUUUUAAUUUAUUAAAAAAAGAAACUAUCCCUAACUUUAUUCAAUAACAACGAAAAAACCAAGAGGGAAAUUAUAAAAAUUCCCCUAAGACCCAUGGCAUGGAAAUUUGAACCUCAAGAAAGGAUAUUUUUACUGCUCAAAUACAAAGGACACGACUAAAAUGCCCCUCUAGUCAAAGUUUUUUUUUUUUUUAAGGGAAAUAUGUUAUUUUAUUGCGCAUCUCUAAUUAAAAAUACAAAUAUUUCCCUUAAUGACAUCCAAUACAACUCUUAAGAAUAUUUAUGAUAUUUUAUAGUGCAAUUUAAAAGAAAAAUAUCUGUCAAUUUAAAAAUGACAAAAUACCUCAAUUACAAAUAUAACCCUACCCUCAAUUAUUAGCCUGGUGCUUUUUUUAACCACAAUUUUUAUUUUUUUUAUUUAAUUUAAUAUAGCUUGUCAUUGGAUUGUUCAUCUAUUUCUUUUUCUUUUUCUUUUUUUCCUUUUCUUUUGUUUUGUUUUAUGAUCAGCACUCCUAUUGUACCAAGUAUCCACGAAUAAAAAAAAUUAAAUUUAGCUAGAAAGAUUCGAAUUCAUCUAGCAAGGAAAAAUGUUUUCCUCGUUGAUUCACGUGUUAAUAUAUAUAUAUUAUCUUUAUUUUAUUCAUUUACAUUUCCAUUAUAUAUCUAUAAAAAUAUAUUUUUUAUUUAUCUCUUUGAUAAUGCUAAUUUUAUUUUAUUUUAAUGUGUUUUUGACAAUGUUAAUGUUAUUUUUUUUGCAAAAAUAGUUAAACUAACUAAUAAUAUUAUAUUUUAUAUUUUAUAUAUAAUUGUUAGAUUCAAUGGAAUUGGAUUUAACUAGAUUAAUUGACGCAUACAAAAUUUGUUUGGGUUAAUAGAUUUUAUCGGGUUAAUAUAUUUUUAAUUUAUUUAAAAAUCUAGCUUAGGUCAUGCUUUGGGUUAUAAACUUUCAUAAAUUAUUAUUAUUAUUAAUUUUAAACAUGAAUUCAUAGAAAAAUUACCACCAAUAUAUUUAAUACUGCAAUGUAUAAUAUAUUUUUUUUAAAUUAAUUGAAAAUAUAUCAAAUAUAUAUUUAUAUUUAUUUUUAUUUUUAACAUAAAGUAUAAAAAAACUCUAAAAAAUCAUUAAUUUAAUAUUUUAUUUUAGCAAAAGGUGUUUUUUUUAAAAAGCUGUUUUAACUAAAAAAACAGACGACAUAUAACUAUUCUCAUCAGAUCUAUGCAGUUGUUUCAACACAGGCAAUGAAAUCUUGCCACGUAAGCAUCCAGAAAAGGAACAAUUAGAUUUGGAACAUCCAAUAAAACCUCGUCUCUUACCUUACAAGCAGUAAAAUCUAAGGAGGGCUAACUACAAAUCAGUCCUCCAACUCCAGUGUUAUGAUUAAAUCAAUUCCAAAACUAGAAAUUCUCCUAAUUUCAUCAUACUUAAAAUCUAAAUGACGAAUAGUUUUUUAGUUAUACAUUUAUAUUUUGAAAAGAUUUUUUGGUUCAUCUAUAAUUAUUUUUUGCAUAGAUGAAUUUUAUUCUUGAAAAUAAAAAAAAUUAUUUUCAGAUAAUAUUUCUAAUAUGUGCAACAUUGAAUAAUGUUUUUCCCCUUUUAUUUUAUUAAAUCAAUUUAAUUUAUUUUUAUAUUUUUAUUAUUGUUUAAUUGAAUAAAAAUAUUAUUUUAAUAAAUAAAUUUAUCAAACACAACCAGAAAAAUAUCCCGUCUUACAAGAUUAAAUAUCAUGAUCUACACCCGUCUUUUAAUUUUUCCAGUUUUAUUUUUAUUUAUCAUUUAUGAUUUGUUUUCUAUUUAUUAACACACAUAAUUCUCGAUUUAUUUAAUUACAAGUAUGUAUAUUUUUUUUUAAUUUUCACUUAAUUUUUUUUACUACCAAAACAUGUUGAAAAAACUUGUGUAUAUAUAUUUUUUUUGUUAAAAAAUAUUAGCCCGCGGUGAAAUACAACUAAAAUAUCUAGUAUAAUUAUAUACUGAAUACUCAAAAUUCGAAUCAUUUACAUGAUUACAAAUGUAAUUUAGUUUUAUGUAAUAAUGUAAUGUCUACUAGAGUUAAUUUUUAUAUAUUGAGAUUGAUUUUUUUUUUUCCAGUAGAACUCAAUAUAGCUAGGAUGAAUUUGUAAACAUUUAUAGUCUCAGGGGACUAAUUUGUAGCUACCCCAUGUAACAAUGUCAGAAAAAAAACAUAAAACAAAAGCAAAAACAAAAGGCAUCGUCUCCCUGUGUCUCUCGUUGACGCAAAGCAGAAGCUUGAGCAUAGGUCGGCAAAAGACAGCCAAGCCCGAGGGAGAACGAAGAAUCUCAAAAAUCGAAUCCAAAAUAAAUCAAACCUCUUUCUGCUUUCUUUUUGUUUCCUCUGCUUUACCGAAAUCACACGUCGUUGUUAUUCCUCCCUCCCUCCCUCUCGCUUUUCCGCACAUAUUGUUAUUAGUAGAUUUUGAGAGGUUGAAUUUUGAUUGGGUAUGGCAACAGAGACAUCUAAAGAUGAAUUAUUGCAGCUAGUCAAGAGAUUUAGUGCUUAUUUGACAGUCAAGAUGUCAAAUCUCUUCUCCUUUAAUACCCCGGUUAGUCUUUCAAUUCCUUUAUUUUUGGUCUCGAUCUGAUUCUGAUUUCUUAGAUUAUGUGAUUAAUCUAUUUUUAGAGUUUAGUGUAUUUGUAAUUGGAAUUGUGGGGUGUGUUUUUCUUGUAGAAAAAAUUAAUGGCGUAUGGUUAUAGGUUUAUUUAAUUAAUUUAUGGUUUAAUUAGGGUAAAGAUUGAAGCUUUUAGCUGUUGAAAGGAGUGCAAUUUUGUUGGAUUUUAUUAUUUUUUCUUGCUUUAAAUUGGUUACUUUUCUUUUACUUCUUCAAUGGUUUUAAAUUAAUUCAUUGAUAUAAUUUUUUAUUUUUUUAUUUUUUCUCUUGUUGGGAAAUAAUUUUUUGGUUCUUGUUUUUUUUUUUUCCUUUUGAAUUUGAGACAACAAUGAAGAUUGAUGAUGUUAUCGUGAAAAGACUUAUUAAAAAAAAAUAGCAAAUGGGUGUGAAUAUAGUUUAAUUGUUUCUUAUAUUGAGAAAUUAGAAAAUUUAAAGAAUAGUUUGAUUUAUGGCAUUGAAGUACUCUCACUGGUUAAAUUUGGUAUCAGGAUUCACGAUCAGUUGGGGCCGUUGCGGGGCUUGCUGUUGCCAUAGUCUUUACAUGGAGGUGGUUGAGGUCAAAUAGUGGACCUCAAAGAAGGCAGCCGAAACGACAAGCUCCUACGACUAGUAGUUCUGUUGUGACUACUCAACCCAAUGCAGUGUCGAUACCUUCUGGGGGUGUUUGUUCAUCUUCGGAGGAUUUGAGAGUGCAGAAUGUUGUUGAUGAGUUCUUUCAAACAGUAAAAGUAAGAAAGCAAUAGUUAAGUUGUAUUUUUGUUUAUUUAGACUUUUUUUGUUCUUAUUAAUGUUUUGUCUUUUUUCAGCCAUCUUUGGGGCAAAUAGUUAGGCAAAAAUUGAGCGAAGGAAGAAAGGUAAAUACUAUCUUAGAUGCACUAAGCAUGAUUUACCUAUUUGCUUAAAUUUGAGUUGAUAUUUCUUAGAAGUGGUGUCUGCAGUCUGUUCUCCCUUUGGUAGCUUUACUGUGGUUUCAUUUCUCAUUUAACAUUUUUUGGGAAUGUUUUAUUUGUCCAAUCUAUGUGCAGUCUGUUUGUUUUGUGUUCAGUAUCCUCUCAUUUAGAUUACGAGUGAUUAUUUAAUUCAUUCCUAUAUAAAAAGGUGCCUUUUAACAAAACAUAAAUUGUGAGUUUGGUUCCUUGCAUCUAUAUGCCUUUUGCUUCAAGUUAUCUUAGCACUUGUUAUUUCUAAUUUUCAUGCUUCUUGAACUUUUUUGUUGCUACAAAUGUCAUGCAUGUAAGUUUGUUUGAAUGGCUUCUCUCAAGUAUGUUCUAGUUUUCAAUCAUUUACUUCUAAUAUAUAUAUAUUACUUUUAGGAUUAUUCUAGUUGUAAUGCAACAAGAAGACAGGCUGAGUUGUCCAAUAAAGAAAGCCAUUCCCCUUAAAGUUUCAUGCUUUGAUGACUUGUUUUGUGUAGGUCACAUGUCGUUUGCUUGGCGUAAUCCUUGAGGAAAGCAGUCCAGAGGAGCUUCAGGUAGUGAAAUAUUUUUCAAGUGAAAUAUGUGCUUGAAACUUUAAUGUGCAAAAAAUUAACUUGUUUCUUCUUAGGGGCAGAGUCAGGCAACUGUUAGGUCCUCUGUGCUAGAAGUGCUGUUAGAAAUCACGAAAUUUUGUGAUGUUUAUCUCAUGGAAAGAGUUCUUGAUGAUGAGAGCGAAGUAAGUGCAAACUUCAUGUAGAACAGUAUUUUAUCAUCACUUCUCCUUUGUUGAAAAAAUAUCGUCAUUUUUGUUCUGUGUUUUGAAAUAUGUGUGCUUCAUGGUGCUACCAAGCAAGUUUUUAUUUGCAUUGUUCCAUGUCCUUCUACACGUGAUUCAAGCAUUCACUUUGGAUGGUUUUCAACUUUUAUCUUUUUUUUAUGGUCUAUCAUUAAUCUAUAUUUAGAUGCACACUGGCUCUAUUGUCCUUGAGUUUAGUACUGUAUAUAAUUUUAGAUUUGGGAGAAAAUAUUUACAAAGACAAUUUUAUGGCACCUAUUAAUGAUGUAGAUGGCAUCCAGAAAUGUGAUGCCUCAGUCACCUCUAUGACUGUUAGUUGUACUUUAACCUGAUUGAAGUUCCUGAAUAAUCAUAUGUUAUUCUCAGUCUUUUUGAUGUCGAUGUUCAGUGAUUGACAGUUUUGAUGUGUUCUAAGAUGGAUGAUGUUUUCAUGAUUGUAGUUUAUCAACCAAGUGUGGAUUUCUAUUAAUGCUAAUUUGCUUUUGCACUUGUCAGUUCUUUUGUAAUAAAUUGUUUCCCUCAUGAAUUGCUUCAUGCACUAUUUUCUGCAGCAAAAGGUUCUCGCAGCUUUGGAAAAUGCAGGAGUUUUUACAUCUGGUGGUUUGGUUAAAGACAAGGUAACAGGAAAUGCUUUCAGAACACUAUGGUUUCUAUGGUAGCUAAUAAGCAAAUUUGUUACAUAUACAAUACACUGUGAGUUUCUUUAUACUGGCCAUUACUUCAUAAAAUUUGAUCCAGUAUAUAUUAGAUGUCAGCUUCUUCACAUUUCUUUGUAAGUUGAACUUUAAAGUGAUAUUUUGUAGCAUAAUUGUGAUGCAUGAUUAUGUGAGGUUCCAAGAAUCCUACUGAACUUUUCAUGCAGGGAAGAGGUUGAAUUCCAUGAAAUUAUACAGUUUUGACUCAAUAUAUUCUUGAUACAUUUUGAAGACAUGAUGUCAUUAAUUCCCCAAUAUUACAUAAGAAAGAGUGGCUAAUAAGCUUAAUAGUAUGGCAAAUACUUCUUCUAUAUCCAUAACAUUAUGUACUCACCAGUAUUUGACACAUGGCAUUAAGAGGCUGAAUGUGCUCAACCAAGCAACAAGGAUGGUUGUUUGUGGUAUAAAAAUAUUAGCUGAAUUGGCCAUUUCUGGAAGAUAUUCAUUUGUCUAUUUGUUUAAUGAUAUAAUCUGCACACUUGGGACACCUUUGGUACGCUGUAAUCAAAAUCAUAACAGAGUGUAUGAUUUAAAAGUUAUUUCUCCACUUAUGUGUUUGAAAUAUAAGAUCUGACUAUUCUGCGGAGUUUUAAUAUUUACCGCCUGAUGUUUUUUUGUCUUUUAACUUGGCAUUUGCUUUGUUUGUCUUAAUCUCUGUAAAAUGCAUCUGCAGGUUCUCUUUUGUAGCACAGAAACUGGACGGUCAUCUUUUGUACGACAACUAGAACCAGAUUGGCAUAUUGACACUAAUCCUGAAGUCAUUUUUCAGUUAGCUGUACGCUUCCUUCACGUGCCACUUAUUGUAUUUUGUCAUUCCACGAUCUUUAUGAUUCUUAGAUCAGAAUGUCAUCUCUUUGUAAUACUUAUCUUCUGAGUUUCACUUUUCUUUUGUGGCAGAGAUUUAUCAAAUAUCAGCUUCAAAUUUCUCCUAUUAGACCUGAACGGACCGCUGCAAAUGUGCUCAGUUCUCCAUCCUUGGAACAGUUCUUCGGAUCAACCUGAUGCAUCAACCCAUAAAAUGUGAAAAUAGAAUUUAGGAGUUAAAAUAGCUUGUUCUUUUUGUUCCAACUGAUCACAGCUUCACAUUUACGGGCAACUUCCACUAGUUGCUGGUCUUCUGAUGAAGGGUUGUUGUGCCAUGUAAUCCUCCACUAUCUCAAGCUCAAAGCUAUGUUUGUUUGAAAAUUUGUACAUUAGGGCGGUCAGAUUUGAAUUUGCCGCAACUGGAUAUUUGACAUGAUGGCUAUCGAUGUCAAUAAUUUAUCAGUUAAAAGAUAUUCAAUCAUUUGCAAUAAUUUUGGUGUUCACUUGUGAUUCUCCUGCCUUAUCAGCCUUUGUUCUACAGUGAGAUCAACAACCAUAACCCAUCUUUUUCGUAAUGUAACAUCUCCACUUGAGAGGUAUGCAUUAAAGAAAAUUACAUGUUGCUGGAACAGUUUUGUUUAUAUGUUUUGUGCCCCUUUUUAUGAAUCAUUCUUAUUUCCAGGAGUAUUUCUGCCAAAUUGGCUUCGUGACCUCUGAGUAUUAUUGCCCUUGUCACCUCAAGAAAACACUUUAUAUUUUAUGUUCCAGGUGAGGUGAACAUCCGCUGGGAUUCGGAGAGCUUCCUGACCAGCAAGCUAGGCAAAUGGAAAGAAUUCUCCAGCUGUUGCAAAUUCCCGUGACUGACUUCCCUCCAAUUAUUAGGCUUUUGCAUUUGCAUGGUGGAAUAUUUGACAAUUGCAGCUCUGAAAAUCGGAAAGGCAAUUUGCCCUUGAAUUAUUCCAUUCUUUUCCCACUUUUAGCUCUUGGUUAUGCCAUGUAAAGCAAAAUCUGAACAAUCGAGAGGUGGAAGAAAGAUCAAGCAAAGAAUCCUUGGCACCUUUUUGGAACGUGAAGCAAAAAGAGAAAAUUUGGAAUCGGAAAAAAUAAUAAAAGAGAAUAGUUGGCAUAGAAAAAAGAAAAAGAAAGGGGAAAAAAAUAAAAGAGAAAACUUGGAAUAGAAAAACUAGUACCCACCAAUAUAAAUAGGCUACUCCAUCAACCAAAAAGGGUGGGAGAGAGUAGAGGAGGAGGCACGUGAAAAAUACAGAAGAAAAGAAAAGAAAAGAAAAGAAAGCUCUCACAUGAAAACCCUAAAAACUGCAGUUCUCCCUCCUCCACCAAAGCAAACACACGUCUGACCACCAACAUCAUCCCUUUCUUCUCUUUUCAUCGCCACUUGCAUCGCCCAGAUCUGACCUUUGACAAGCUGCCAUGCGCGCGAGUAUGGUUCCGGUUGUUUAGUAUACUCUCAGGUUAUACCUUUGUAUUUUCCCUUAAUUAAUUUAUUCUGUAUUUAUAGAUUUGUCUCAAACUUGUUAAUUAUUACAAUUAGAUCCUUUUGUGAUUUAAUUCAAAUUUAAUUGGCAAUAAAUUGAAAUUUUUGUUCCUAUUUUUUUUAAUUUCAAAUUUGUGUGAUAUCUAAUCAUGAUCUACAAAAAGAAUUGGACAAUAAUUUAUCUAGGCAUGGACUAAAUUAAAAAGGGCAUAAACUAUCUUAUUUUAGGUUAAUAUAUUUUAGGUUUAAAUUAUCUUAUUUUUUUAAAAAAAUAGAUCUGAAUUGUAAAUAAUUAAUAUGGCAUAACAUUUUACAUGGAUUUUUUUUUAGUCAUAUUUUGUAAAUGACAUAAUUCACAAGAAUAAAUAUAGAUGAUUUUCCUAUAACUUUUUUUUUUAAGAACACGUUAAAAACUAAUUCAUGUCAAAUAUUAUGUCAUAUUAAUUAUUCACAAUUCAAAUUUAUUUAUUUUUAAAUAAAAAGCCUAAAUCUAAAUGUAUUAACAAGAUAAAAAAUUUUACACCUUUAAAUUUAAUCCAUUUCUAAAUAAAAUCUUGCUGUUAUUAAUUUUUCAAAUUAUAAUUAGAUAUCAUACAAACUUGAAAUUAGAUAUCAUAUAUAAUUAUGAAAUUAGAUAUCAUAAUUAUAUUCUGAACUUUUCCCUUUUAUUUUUUUUUUCUUUAGAUUUUUCUACUACAAAAACCGUGUAAUUUUUUAAUCCUUAAAAACUAUAUUUUUCAAGCCCUAUUUUUCAAUAUGGGUAAAAAUAGGCAAUGGCAACCACCCUCCUACAAUUGCAAUUUCAAGGCACCAUGUUAGUUUCUCAUGCUGUAUGUUUUGAGUACAGAGAUUGGAACUUAGAACCAGAGGCCAGCUGCUUGAGCUUUAAUCAUGUCAAGAACAAGAUUUUCUAUUCAGAUUAUAUAAAGCAAACAAAUGCAGUUUAUGAUCAAGGAGGAUUUAAGAGUGUGAUAGCGGUUGUUUAUCAAAGUGUUUUUUGUUUGAAAAUGUAUCAAAAUAAUAUUUUUUAAAAUUAUUUUUUAUAUCAGUACAUUAAGAUAAUUUAAAAACACCAAACAAAUAUCAAUUUAAAACAAAAUAAUACUUUUUUCAAAAACAUUUUUAAAACAUAAAAACAAACAAAUACACGACAUCAUAAUUACAAAGGCAUGUAUAGCAACUCCGAUCAGUCCAUUCCUAGAGGUGGUGAAGAACUUCAAAGCCUGGUUGACCCUCCCGACAUGUAACUUGAACAUUGUCUCGAGUCGACUUUCAAAUCGGGUUUUAAAAGUAUGAUAAUAAUUAUUUUUAUACAUACAUUGACUUGGUUCAACCCGUGUUGACCCUCCCGACUUGUGACCCGAGCCUUACCCUAAUUAACCCUGUGUCGGGUUUUAAAACUAUGAUAAUAAAAAAAUUUAUCCUUACAUUGACUCGGGUUGAUCCUUAUAAUUCGUGACCUAGGUCUUGCCCCGAAUUGACAAUCAAAUCAAGUUUUAAAACUAUGAUAAUAACCACUUUUAUUUUAUAUUAACUCGAGUCAAUCUAGGUGAACCCUUUUGACAUUUGACUCGGACUUUGCCCCCAGUUGAUGUUCCAAUCGAGUUUUAAAAUUAUUAAUAACUAUUUUUAUUUUUAUACCGAGCUAAUCAUUUCUAGCCGCAUUCAAGUGGGUUGUUGACACGUGUACAUUGUUGAUCAACCUUGUUCUACAAGGUGAUGGGAUUUGAUGUUGUAGAAAAAUGGAGGUAUUUGCGAUUCGAACUGCAGGAGGUGGUGGUUGUGGAUUAGGGUAAGGGGUCCCAGGGUGUAUGACAGAAAGCGAAGAUGGACCUUACUUGGACAGUAACGAUUCAUGAAACGAGUGCCGCUGCUUGCCUUUGGUAUCCGCGACGACGACCAAUUAUAUUAUUAUUAUUAUUAUAAAAAAAACUAAUAGGCAAAGGUAAAACCAUGUAUGAAGACUUGUUGUAUAUGAUUGCUGUUUUUGCCCUUGACAAUGCAAGUUUAGGAAGUGCGAAUUAUAAGGCAAAAUAAUCUUUUAUGGGUUCACUUUUCGUUAUCAAAUUGAUUAUAGUUAAAUUAGUUUUUUCACUUUUUUAGCGUAGUAAUAAAACUUAAUUAUCCUUAGAAGAAAAAAAGAAAUUAGCUUGGUGUUCUUAAAUGACUAAAUUAUUCUUAAAAACAAAAUAAUACAAAACUUCCUGUCAGGGAUUUUUCAUCUUCAGUUUCACCUAGUUUAGUCUCAUUUACUCGUCCUGUCAUAAUUUAGUUUCAUCUACUCACUAAACACGUCUUAGAACAUUUUGAACCAUAGCUUGAGGAAAGAGCUAAAAAAGAGUCUCCAUUAUCGGAUCUAUCGAGUCAACCCAACCGAGUCAACUAGGUUUCACUAAAUUAAUAUAUUUAAAACCCAACCCGGGUAAGACUCCAGUUUUCCUAAUCAACCCGUCAAGCCACAACAAAUUUAACAACUAUGACUAUGUUUAUGAAAUCCAAUUCGUUCCGCAUUUCCAACAUUUCCAACGAGCAAAUAUUCAUUUGACAAUUGGUGAAUACGAUCCUUCAAAUGCCAAAGAGCAAUGCAAAGUCACCCAAUGAUUGUUUCCCACGGGAACUAAAAGAGAUGCAGAAAUUCCUAGCGUUAGUAGCAAUGUUGGUUAUAUGAGGAAAUGCAGCUGAAUGCAAGUUUGAUGCGUGGACAGAAAACAGUGGAUUCAAUUUUCUAUCAACAUCCAUCAAAUAAAAGAGGUAAGCAUGAUUGUGCAACUAACGAAUGAUAUAUAUCUUCUAAAUUGUGUAUCCUUGAACCUGUUUCCUUUUUUGAACAAAUAUUUUGAAGGAUCGUACAGACAGACUAAAGGUGGAACGGAUAUAAGCCGUUACAGCAAAAAAAUGGAAGUUACCGUUUAAAACCGCAGAUCAUGCAGCUAGCAAGAAAUGAGCAUUUGCCAUCUAUACAUUGUGGUCAUUGGGAGCGAGUAAUUUGUCUUCUUC